UACAGAGGGCUCGAGCGUUGUUCGGAUUCAUUGGGCGUAAAGGGCGCGUAGGCGGCGGGGUAAGUCUGGUGUGAAAUCUCGGAGCUCAACUCCGAAAUUGCACUGGAUACUGCUCUGCUAGAGGGCUGGAGAGGAGAUCGGAAUUCACGGUGUAGCGGUGAAAUGCGUAGAUAUCGUGAGGAAGACCAGUGGCGAAGGCGGAUCUCUGGACAGCUCCUGACGCUGAGGCGCGAAGGCUAGGGGAGCAAACGGG
rnacentral:rRNA from 1 species